rnacentral:SRP_RNA from 1 species
GGCCGGGUCCUGUACAAUAGAGCCCUUAUUGAAUCCGCUAGAUCCGGAAGGAAGCAACGGCGUUUAAGGGACUUUGUGAUAUGGGGUGCUCGGCCACU